rnacentral:miRNA from 1 species
UAUAUAGUGUGUGUGGAUACAUAUGCACACGUGUAUACAUACGUGCAUAUAUACACAUGCAUAUAUACAUACAUAUAUAUAUGUGAAUUCACAUAACUUUUUCA